rnacentral:rRNA from 1 species
CCUACGGGAGGCAGCAGUGAGGAAUAUUGGUCAAUGGGCGGGAGCCUGAACCAGCCAAGCCGCGUGAAGGAAGAAGGCGCCAGGCGUCGUAAACUUCUUUUGUCGGGGAACAAAGGGCGCCACGCGUGGCGUUGUGAGUGUACCCGAAGAAAAAGCAUCGGCUAACUCCGUGCCAACAGCCGCGGUAAUACGGAGGAUGCGAGCGUUAUCCGGAUUUAUGGGGUUUAAAGGGUGCGUAGGCGGUACAGAACGUCAGCGGUAAAAGCCAGGGGCCCAACCCCGGCGAGCCGUUGAAACUGGCGGACUAGAGACGGCGAGAGGUACGCGGAAUGUGUGGUGUAGCGGUGAAAUGCAUAGAUAUCGCGCAGAACUCCGAUUGCGAAGGCAGCGUACCGGCGCCGGACUGACGCUGAGGCACGAAAGCGUGGGUAUCGAACAGGAUUAGAUACCCGAGUAGUC